rnacentral:misc_RNA from 1 species
AGACGUUCGAUUUGGUUGCUUUCAUCGCCCUGCAGCGGUGGUAGCAGCAGCGGCCACGGCAGAACAGAAAGCCACCGCGAAUCUAUUCAGGUCUCUUCGGCAAACAAAAAUACGAGAGGGACGAAUCCGACGCAGCCGUAUCGAGGAGUAAAUGAAAAAAAAAAAAAAUCUGGACGGGGGUGGAAGAAAAAUUCGUCAUUGUCGAAGUUUCUCGUUCCCGCGUACCUUACGUGACCUUGAUCGGAAAAAAUGAAUUCGAAACUCCGGCUACGUACACAGAGGUAUACCUAUACCGUUUGACUUUCGGACGGGGUCGUUGGCGUAAGCCCAGCAGCGCUUCACCCGAACACGAUGCACUCCUAUAACCCUUGGAAACCCCCCGCGGACUCUCGAGAAGAACGAGCCACUCGAGAAGUGACUGAAGAUCGGGAGGGGCUGGAGGCGUAGCGGGAUAGGUGGGUAGCUAUAUAUAUACAAGGGACGAAUUACCUGCCACAACGG